rnacentral:rRNA from 1 species
CCUACGGGAGGCAGCAGUGGGGAAUUUUGGACAAUGGGCGAAAGCCUGAUCCAGCCAUUCCGCGUGAGUGAAGAAGGCCUUCGGGUUGUAAAGCUCUUUCGCAAGGGAAGAAAACUUAGUCUCUAACAUAGACUGAGGUUGACGGUACCUUGAUAAGAAGCACCGGCUAACUACGUGCCAGCAGCCGCGGUAAUACGUAGGGUGCGAGCGUUAAUCGGAAUUACUGGGCGUAAAGCGUGCGCAGGCGGUUUUGUAAGUCAGAUGUGAAAUCCCCGAGCUCAACUUGGGAACUGCGUUUGAAACUACAAGACUAGAAUAUGUCAGAGGGGGGUAGAAUUCCACGUGUAGCAGUGAAAUGCGUAGAGAUGUGGAGGAAUACCAAUGGCGAAGGCAGCCCCCUGGGAUAAUAUUGACGCUCAUGCACGAAAGCGUGGGGAGCAAACAGGAUUAGAUACCCUGGUAGUCCACGCCCUAAACGAUGUCUACUAGUUGUUGGUGGAGUAAAAUCCAUGAGUAACCGNAGCUAACGCGUGAAGUAGACCGCCGCGGGAGGUACGGUCGGUCGAGAAGUUAAACGUUAAAAGUUAAGUUAAGUUAGUACGGCGUUGAGACGUUAGCCGACGGACGACGACGAGGGAGGAGG